rnacentral:tRNA from 1 species
GUUCACUUAGCUCAAUGGUUAGAGCGUUUGAGUUCUAUUUGUUUGAAUAGAUUAUACUCAAGAGAUACGAGUUCGAAUCUCGCAGUGGACA